rnacentral:lncRNA from 1 species
GUACAUGCUGGUUUUAUUCAUGCAUCAGUUUGUGCAGUGGAACUUAAAAGGAUUUUCUGCAUUAUUUUAGAACAUAUGCUGUACACCUUUUCCUCCCACGUGUUCUCUAUAUCCUGUAGAAUCUCUGGACAGAGAUCAUCUCUUCCCCUCCAGCUGAAAAAUGCAGUGUGUUGAAGAAGUAAAAAAAUUUAUUGCUGUGUUGAAGUUCACUGAAGGGAAUGGACUUCAUCAACAGUUUUCAUUGCAUGCCACCAGCAGUGUGCACUGUCACUCUCUUGGUACUUAGAUUUUUGACAAUAUUGUUGCUAUUUUUCAAGUAUGUUAUAUUUUAAAUAUGGUAGGAGCCUUUUCAGUUAAGAAAGAAUCUUAGCAACAAAAUGUUGUUUUGUUAAUUAAUAACUUUAGAAAACAGAGUUCGUAGAAAGGCGUCAUAUUUCUGGUGAAUUACAAUAGAAGUCUUUUUACUAAUCAUGUCUCAUAUUAAGUAUGUCUGCUAAUACACAUUCUGCAGUCCCUUCUUACUUUCCUAUGGGUUUAUGUUUUCACAGUCACUCACACACUAAUAGGCAGUAAACAUGCCACUGUUCAUGUGUACUUGGAUAUCUUCAAAAUGAUGCACCUGCCCUUUUUAUUUAUUUAUUUAAUACUCUAUUGGACAGCACAAAUUUCUGCACCAAACAGCUGUCCUAUCCUUCAUAAAUCCAGUGGAAAUUGACAUUUCAGUAUUUCACAGGUUAACUUAAUGUUAAUUAAAGCAUGAUUAUACACUCUUAUCCUUUGUAUUUUCAUGGAUUUUAUGCUAUUAUAAAAUCAAAGUAUUUCAGAAUACAAAUGCAUAUUUAAAUCCAAAUGUCAGACUACUGAAUAUGAAUACAAAUAAAAGGACACGUACAAGACUGGUUUAUUGUGAU